rnacentral:rRNA from 1 species
GAAACGGCUACCACUUCCAAGGAAGGCAGCAGGCGCGCAACCUUACCCUAAUCUCGAUUCGAGGAGGUAGUGACAAAGAAACUACCGAUGCGGACCCCUACGGGUGCCGCGUUCGGAAUGAGUACGAUUCGAACCACCUAACGAGGAACGAUCGGAGGGCAAGUCUGGUGCCAGCAGCCGCGGUAAUUCCAGCUCCAAUAGCGUACGUUAAAGUUGCUGCAGUUAAAAAGCUCGUAGUUGAACGUUCGGGUUCCGCGGGACGGGGCCGCCCCGCGAGGGACGGCGCCGCCCCGGGGCUCGUGAUAUCUUAUCUCGCCGCCCGUCGCGAGGCGGACGGAGGGAUGGAUGAGGUUACCUGGAAAAAAUCGGGGCGAUCUAGGCGGGCGAACCUCGCCAACGAACGAUCGGACAUGGG